ACGGGAGGCAGCAGUGGGGAAUAUUGGGCAAUGGGCGAAAGCCUGACCCAGCAACGCCGCGUGAAGGAGGAAGGUCUUCGGAUUGUAAACUUCUUUUAUGAGGGACGAAGGACGUGACGGUACCUCAUGAAUAAGCCACGGCUAACUACGUGCCAGCAGCCGCGGUAAUAAGUAGGUGGCAAGCGUUAUCCGGAUUUACUGGGAGUAAAGGGCGCGUAGGCGGGAAGGCAAGUCAGAUGUGAAAUCCAUGGGCUCAACCCAUGAACUGCAUUUGAAACUGUUUUUCUUGAGUGCUGGAGAGGUAGACGGAAUUCCUUGUGUAGCGGUGAAAUGCGUAGAUAUAAGGAAGAACACCAGUGGCGAAGGCGGUCUACUGGACAGUAACUGACGCUGAGGCGCGAAAGCGUGGGGAGCAAACAGGAUUAGAUACCCUGGUA
rnacentral:rRNA from 1 species